UCUCCGCUGGUCUAGUGGUUGGGACUCGGCACUUUCACUGCUGCAGCCCAGGUUCCAUUCCUGGCCUGGGGA
rnacentral:tRNA from 1 species